rnacentral:rRNA from 1 species
AACGAACGCUGGCGGCAGGCCUAACACAUGCAAGUCGAACGCUCGUAGCAAUACGAGAGUGGCAGACGGGUGAGUAACACGUGGGAACCUUCCCUAUGGUUCGGAAUAGCCCAGGGAAACUUGGGGUAAUACCGGAUAAGCCCUUCGGGGAAAGAUUAUCGCCAUUGGAUGGGCCCGCGUCGGAUUAGCUAGUUGGUGAGGUAACGGCUCACCAAGGCGACGAUCCGUAGCUGGUCUGAGAGGANGAUCAGCCACACUGGGACUGAGACACGGCCCAGACUCCUACGGGAGGCAGCAGUGGGGAAUAUUGGACAAUGGGCGCAAGCCUGAUCCAGCCAUGCCGCGUGAGUGACGAAGGCCUUAGGGUUGUAAAGCUCUUUUGGCGGGAAGAUAAUGACGGUACCCGCAGAAUAAGCUCCGGCUAACUUCGUGCCAGCCGCCGCAGUAAC